rnacentral:rRNA from 1 species
UACGUAGGGUGCGAGCGUUGUCCGGAAUUAUUGGGCGUAAAGGGUGCGUAGGCGGUUCGUUAAGUCUGUCGUGAAAUCCCCGGGCUCAACCUGGGAAUGGCGAUGGAAACUGGGCAGCUAGAGUGUGUCAGAGGAUGGUGGAAUUCCCGGUGUAGCGGUGAAAUGCGUAGAGAUCGGGAGGAACAUCAGUGGCGAAGGCGGCCAUCUGGGACAACACUGACGCUGAAGCACGAAAGCGUGGGGAGCAAACAGG